CCCUCCCCUCCCCCACCAGUCCCAGUGACCUAUUGCUCCUAUAGGGACUGGCUCUUUCUGGUUGGCAGGAUUCAAUAAUGGGAUGGAUGAGAGUUCUGGGGCAUAAAUAAAAGGAUGAGCUGAUGGUCUGUCCAUGGAACUUCUGAGAACCAACAGGAAGAUAACUGUGAUUGUACCUAAAUGCUACAAUUAAUUUGACGAAGUGGGGCUUAGAAGAACCCAGUUAGGAAAGAGCAGGUUUCAAUGAAAAGAAAGAAACAUCACUUCAACAUAUAUAUGUUAAUAAACUUUUUUGUGUCUAUGCCAUA